rnacentral:rRNA from 1 species
UGGGGAAUAUUGGACAAUGGGCGCAAGCCUGAUCCAGCCAUGCCGCGUGUGUGAAGAAGGCCUUUUGGUUGUAAAGCACUUUAAGCGAGGAGGAGGCUACUUGGAUUAAUACUCUAGGAUAGUGGACGUUACUCGCAGAAUAAGCACCGGCUAACUCUGUGCCAGCAGCCGCGGUAAUACAGAGGGUGCGAGCGUUAAUCGGAUUUACUGGGCGUAAAGCGUGCGUAGGCGUCUUUUUAAGUCGGAUGUGAAAUCCCUGAGCUUAACUUAGGAAUUGCAUUCGAUACUGGGAAGCUAGAGUAUGGGAGAGGAUGGUAGAAUUCCAGGUGUAGCGGUGAAAUGCGUAGAGAUCUGGAGGAAUACCGAUGGCGAAGGCAGCCAUCUGGCCUAAUACUGACGCUGAGGUACGAAAGCAUGGGGAGCAAACAGG